GCGAGAGUGGUGAAAUUGGCAGACACGCUAGACUUAGGAUCUAGUGCCCUAGGCGUGAGGGUUCAAGUCCCUCCUCUCGCACGA
rnacentral:tRNA from 1 species